GGGGAAGGGAGCAGGAACUGUACAAGCUUCUACUAGAUUCUGAGCUGAAUUGUCCUGGGACCACUUGAAAUGUGAUUUAUUUGUCCCUGGGCCAGCAGAAGGUGAAAAUGGAUGUUUGGCUAGUUGAAGAGAAAUGGAAAUGAGACCCCGCAGACUGACUUAUUCAGUGGAAAGAGUCCUAUCAUGAAGACACACCAGAGCUGACUGGUUUGCCAGAUUUAAGCUGGGAAGUUUCGGAUGGAUUCUCUUUCCUCCAAAGUGAAAACUUCUGGAAAUAGCACAUCAGAACAAGCAUGGGGAAUGGUGAUAAUAAUGGACUUCCAGGCACGACAGCUCAGGUCUAGGAAAAGAGAUGGGCUAGAGAUCUAGGCAACAGAAGUUUUGUACAUUUUCCCAAAUUACACUCCUGCUGCAGAUCAAAGUUUUGUUUUUUUUCUUCCCCAA